GAUGAACGCUGGCGGCGUGCCUAAUACAUGCAAGUCGAGCGAACGGACGAGAAGCUUGCUUCUCUGAUGUUAGCGGCGGACGGGUGAGUAACACGUGGAUAACCUACCUAUAAGACUGGGAUAACUUCGGGAAACCGUAGCUAAUACCGGAUAAUAUUUUGAACCGCAUGGUUCAAAAGUGAAAGACGGUCUUGCUGUCACUUAUAGAUGGAUCCGCGCUGCAUUAGCUAGUUGGUAAGGUAACGGCUUACCAAGGCAACGAUGCAUAGCCGACCUGAGAGGGUGAUCGGCCACACUGGAACUGAGACACGGUCCAGACUCCUACGGGAGGCAGCAGUAGGGAAUCUUCCGCAAUGGGCGAAAGCCUGACGGGGCAACGCCGCGUGAGUGAUGAAGGUCUUCGGAUCGUAAAACUCUGUUAUUAGGGAAGAACAUAUGUGUAAGUAACUGUGCACAUCUUGACGGUACCUAAUCAGAAAGCCACGGCUAACCACGUG
rnacentral:rRNA from 1 species